CCUACGGGGGGCAGCAGUGAGGAAUAUUGGUCAAUGGGCGAGAGCCUGAACCAGCCAAGUCGCGUGAGGGAGUACUGCCCUAUGGGUUGUAAACCUCUUUUGUCGGGGAGCAAAAGCCGGACGUGUCCGGCUGUGAGAGUACCCGAAGAAAAAGCAUCGGCUAACUCCGUGCCAGCAGCCGCGGUAAUACGGGGGAUGCGAGCGUUAUCCGGAUUUAUUGGGGUUAAAGGGUGCGCAGGCGGAUUUUUAAGUCAGCGGUCAAAUCGUGGGGCUCAACCCCAUCCAGCCGUUGAAACUGGGGAUCUAGAGUGUGCGAGAGGUAUGCGGAAUGCGUGGUGUAGCGGUGAAAUGCAUAGAUAUCACGCAGAACCCCGAUUGCGAAGGCAGCAUACCGGUGCACAACUGACGCUCAGGCACGAAAGCGUGGGUAUCGAACAGGAUUAGAUACCCUAGUAGUC
rnacentral:rRNA from 1 species